CUUAAAUGAGCGUCGUUCAAAUCAAUCGCUCACAAUAUGCGCGCGGGUUUGGGUCGGAUCGGACCCGAGACCCGAAUCCAACUUAUAUAUAAAAAAAAAACCUAUCUCUCUCCCUCUUUCCCAAAAGCUCCAGCCGCCUCCCUCCAUUUUCUCCCUCUUUUCCCCAAGCUCCAGCCGCCGACGUUUCCUCCAGCUCCGAUCGCCGGUCGCCGGCGCCUGCGACUACGGUAACCUCGUAAAAGGUGGCUACGGCAAGGCCACCGCCGCCCUCAACACCGUCCUCGUCGAGGAAGUCCAGAUCUGCGUCCUCAAGCUCCAGCCGCUGACGUUGAGUACCAUCUGCCGCAGUCCGGCGAACCUGAUCCCGGACGCGGCAAAUCCGACAUGGAUGAACAAAGGCGAUAACGCGUGGCAGCUGACGGCGGUGACGAUGGUGGGGCUGCAGAGCAUCACGGGGCUGGUGAUUUGAGAAACCCUUCUCACGGCCAAAUUGACAAUAAUCCACCUGGUGCUCCUGCCGAAGAAGUCGAAGAAGGCUGGGGCCGCCAAGAGAGGUCAGAUCGAUCGCCGAGAGGUCACCUAAUUUGCACCUAAUUAUCCUUCUCUUUCUCCCCCUCUCGCCUCCAAUUUUCGCGGGAUUUCUCGCGAGUCGCAUCCAAUUUCGAAGGGUUGAGGUCGAUUAGCACGGGGUUGAGGCCUCUUGCUGCGAUCUCAAAAGCUAGGGCUUUCCCGAUGCGCCAGUGUCAAGGACGGUGUACAGCCCGUUCCCGGAGCUCUCUGCUGCCAUCCCCAGCCUAUUAGUCUGUUUCUGAUUUCGCAGAGGUGCAGGAACCUCACGAGAUUGAAGCUCCGAUGGCUUUUGUUAAAUUCAGAUUUUUGUCUGUUUUUUGGGUGUAAAACUCCGGCAAGGCUCCGGCCAUGGUUGAUAAUCAACAGUUAUCAAAAUUUAAUCUUACAAAACUUUGUUAGUUUUCUUUGUUGAGUGUAAUCCAAAUGAUACCAUUUUCUUUAAUAAAUGAUACUAUGUUUAUGAAA